GCCAGUGAGCCACAGUCGUAGUGAGAGCCAAACACUUGUGUGAAACCACAAAAUCUGCAAUAUCGGGAGGAAUUUCAAGCCAUAUUUGUGACCUAAGCCUUCAGUGAACUGAGUUAGCAAAGUCAGUAUUCAAACAGGAGUCCUGAUACCACCAGAUACUUGUUGAGGAAAAUUCAGAGAGACCACAAUCUGCCACAAGAAAACCAUGUCUGCCUUCAACAUGGACAUCAUUGAAUCUUUUAACCAAGCUGUCAAAGACAUGCCAUGGGAAGAGCUAGUUUCUACUGUCAGACUGGCUCUCGAUGAUGUAUUGGCAGAAGAAGCUUACGCUUCUCUUCCCACAUUCACUCCACCUGCACCUGCCCUGUCCAUGCUAGGUUUGAGCAAUACACCAAUACUAAGCCUGGUGAAAUAAAGGACAGGGAGUUUGAGCCCUCUGAAGCAGUUACGCUGUUUGAUCUAGACAGCUCACGGUCUAGCCCUGCUCCUGCCUUUGUGUACGAAACACUGAGACAGGAAGACAUUAUGGAACAAAGUCAUUACCAGGCCAAUGCAAACCAUGAGCAGUUGCUGUCCCAUCAGUGGACUGUAGAUAAUGCCGCAACAGUAUCCCCAGCUGCCAGUCAGCCUGUGAGUGCUGGUGCUGCUGCUCCUCAACAAGUAAGAUACCAUUGAACCUCUCCCUCUGUUGUUUCACUGAUUUGUUGCAGCACAAAGCAGGGGCAAGUCCCCUGCAGUCUGUUCUGGCGCUGCCUCCGUGAACAGAGAUGGGUUGGAUGUCGCUGCAAAACCAGUCAACCCAAGUGCAACUGCCACACAGACCCACUCCACUCCCUUAUCCGGGCUGCCACACUUGUCAGAUGCAACAGAUGUAUAAUAACAUCACUGGUCCGCUGCUGUCAGGAGUAGCGACUCCUGGGCUGUCCAACCUGCACAUGGACAGCCCUAUUGAAAAAUUCAAAUAAAACUUGAAGCAUA